GGUAUCAGGGCUUAACUUAGAUGAUAAACACGAGUCAACCAUCACAAGUCACUCAUCUACUCUCCUCUUUGUGAUCAUCCUGUGUAGGCGAUUCUAAAUUUAUCGCAAGAUCAGGAUUAAGCAGACGAAAGAAAAAAAAAAAAAAAAGAAACGGUCUUGGCAACAUCACUACUCUGGCUGCUUGUGAAAGCAACAAGUGACUUCAUCCAACAUUCACCUGCGCAAGGCAGUUCCGAAGUGGGAACACUCACCUGCCCAUGGCAGUUGCGAGGAGACCCGAGGCUCUGCUGGGGAAAUCCCUUGGUCUGCCAAAGCUUUUUUCUUUCCGCAUGAAAGAUCAGUCGGCUCCUAGGGGCAAGUGUGGAAUUACAGAAGGUGUCGAGGACUAAGCACAAGCCGGCUGCUAAUGGCUGCUUUCCAACAAUGCUGUAAAACUUCUCCUUGAGUCCCGGCUCUUUUUUCAGACGUCCCAUAGCAGUUCAGUUGGAGAACUCCAGAAAUGGGAGCCUCUGUUUCCGGUCCUGAGCGCUCACAGGCCACCUGGGAGCCUCCUACCGGCCUGGACAGGCCAGCCUCUCCCUCGAAGUCUCCAGAAGGAUCAGUUUCAGAAGGCUGCAGGUGUGUGCAGAGUUUGUUGCUGGGAUGGAGCGCUGGUGGGAAGACAGCCCGCGGGUGUUAACCUCCAUCAAGGUCAAGCUAUCCAGCCUGGCUUGUGCUGCCCGGAGUUUGCUACGUGAAUGUCCCGGAUCUCAUGUGCCAUCUGCAUGGUGUCUGCAUGCUACUUUAGCAGGGGUUUGGAUUUCUGCACUCCUCCUGAUGAUCUCUGUCCAGUUUUCAUGGCCCUCACUUGCCUCUGAGGAUGAAAUAAUUUUUAAGAAACACUCUCCUUGCGCGUCACCUUUCCUGUCAUCUUUCUUCACGAUUCUGCUCCCGCCAUGGUAAGUGAGCCCUUAUGAAGCAACACCUGCCAGGAAACGACUGCUUUUGGAGAUCUCAAUGUGACAUGCCAGGAAACAGAUGAGCUGAAGAAAGACUGUCAUUUUAUCUGGUAGGACACAUUCAAGGUAGGCCAUAAAAUUUUGUGAGAGACAUAAGCAAAGGUGUGUGACUUAGGAACUCUUCCCUUUCUUAAACCGUAUUUCUCUUUUUUAUACUGUCACAC
rnacentral:lncRNA from 1 species